UACGAAGGGGGCUAGCGUUGUUCGGAAUUACUGGGCGUAAAGCGCGUGUAGGCGAGUCUUUAAGUCAGGGGUGAAAUGCAAGGCUCAACCUUGGAACUGCCUUUGAUACUGGAGAUCUUGAGUCCGGGAGAGGUGAGUGGAACUGCGAGUGUAGAGGUGAAAAUUCGUAGAUAUUCGCAAGAACACCAAGUGGCGAAGGCGGCUCAUUGGCCCGGAACUGACGCUGAGACGCGAAAGCGUGGGGAGCAAACAGGGAUUAAGAUACCCGGAGUAGUCCACGGAAGCCAAUCGAUCUCCGUCUCGUGACCCUGACGAA
rnacentral:rRNA from 1 species